rnacentral:rRNA from 1 species
UACGGAGGGGGCAAACGUUGCUCGGAAUCAUUGGGCGUAAAGCGCACGUAGGCGGCCUGAUAAGUCGGGUGUGAAGGCCCUGGGCUCAACCCAGGAAGUGCACUCGAAACUGUCAGGCUUGAAUAUGGAAGAGGGUCGUGGAAUUCCCAGUGUAGAGGUGAAAUGCGUAGAUAUUGGGAAGAACACCGGUGGCGAAGGCGGCGACCUGGUCCUUGACUGACGCUGAGGCGCGAAAGCGUGGGGAGCAAACAGG